GCUGGCGGCAGCAACUGUGGAAGGGAAGAACAUAGUCACGUACCUACACGCUGCUUUUCAUUCUCUCCCACUCAGUCCUUCCUUCCGCUGCCUUCUCUGGGGGCCUUCAUUGGAUGUAUCUGUGUUCUCACCUUCCAUUUCCCUCUUUCUCUGGCUCCCAUUCCUCUCCCUUCAUUUCACCUUUUCAUCUGCCUGCCUCUUUCAUCAUCUCGUAUUUAUACAGCACCUAACAUCUGUUGGACGCUGGGAUUGGCACUGUGACUAUAACAAAGAUGACCGGGACAUGCUUCCUGUCCUCACGGAGCUUACAAGCAGUUGCUGAGUGUGUGUCUUCCAGGGAAAAGAAGAGGAAGCAGGAGAGGCCUUCAGACUUGGACUGGAAUGUACAUCGCUGGCUCCCCAUCUCUCGGACCUUGGAAAUACACUCUGGCUUUCUUGGGUCUCCAGCUUACAGAUGGCAGAUCGGAG
rnacentral:lncRNA from 1 species